rnacentral:ncRNA from 2 species
AAACUCUACUAGGGGCGCCGGUUGGCUGAGAAGUACCCUUUGAACCUGAUCUAGUUCGUACUAGCGGAGGGAAGUAGGUUAAUAAAUUA